GCAUCGUUCAACUGAGCCGCAGAAACUUCAUUAUUCAUAUUCCAGCAUGCCUUGAGUCGCAGUUACUUAUAAAGAAACAUCUAAAUUUGUGAAUUUAUGUUGAAAAUAGCUUCCAUGAUGGCACCGGGGCGAAGCAGCAGCAAACCUCACCCUGGGAAGGUCGGGCAGGUCAUAUGAAAGAGCCCCAGCCAGGCCCCACAGUGCAGCUUAUCACAGCCACUGGCGACGCCGUGAGGGAGACGUCACCCGCAUCACCCGCCAACAAGCCCUCGCCCUGGUAUCAUCAGACACGGACCAGUUGGCCUCAUCAGGCUGAGAAACAACGGGGUUCGGCUCGUCUCUGUCAUUAUCGUGUGCAUACUAAUGAAGAGGAGGCGGCUCACCAUCACACUGGCGGGAUGGGCCACAGAGGCCGGUGGUGGUGGAAUGCUGUGGAGAAUGCUUUCUUGGCACAGUUUAAUCUUUAAUUCCAAUGGAUCAUGGCCUGAACACCACAGUCUAUCUGAGUACUGUUGCUGACCAUAUGCAUCCCUUCAUGGCCACAAUUUACCCAUCUUCCAAUGGUGGAUUGUCAUGCUGGAGGUAGCCAUAUCACAAAGCAAAAGUCAUCUGAAACUAGUUUCAUGAACAUGACAUUGAGUUCACUGUUCUUCGGUGGUGUGCCCAUCUGGGAUGUGGUAGAAUGGGAGAUUGACAGCAUGGAU